UAUGACUGCAGAUAUAUUUGGAUACACUUUUAUGUAUUUUUAAAAUUUGGCCCUUUUCAUUUUUUCUUUUUUUAUUUUACUUGACCUUUUAACUUUUUAAUUUUCUUUUGGAUCUGGUGUGUGUUUCUCUAAUUCACUUAUUUCCUCUCCUGGUUUUGAAGUUGUAUAUCCUAUUUAUAUACCCUGUAUAUAACAGUAAGUCCUGUUACUUAAGUCUAUUACUUAAAUGGUCACCCUAGUGAUUUCUCUUUUAUGUUUUGAAUUUUUACUACAGUAUAAUUUACAUAUAGAAAAAAUGCAUAUCUUACAAGUGUGCAGCUUACUGACUUUUCACAAAUGAACACCCUCCUAUAGCCAGCAUGUAGAUCAAGAAACAGAGUACCCCCAUUCUCAGAAGGCUUCUGCAUGCCCCCUCGAAAAUGCUACACCUAUUGAAUGUAAGUUUAACAAGAUCUAAGAUUCAGCAUAAUCUUUAGGCUUCUCACAAACAAAAUAAGAUUUUAUUGUAGAAUGUUUUACUUCCAUUCACCAGCUCCUAGUUUCUGUACUAUUGCUGUCAAGGAUUUCAAUUCAACUUUAUUUUUUAACCCCAAACAUUUACUAUGACAUGCUUAUCAUUUUCUUUGUUUACCAUUCCUUCUUGUGUCUUAGAUUUUCCAGGCAUCAUUUUCUUUCUUUUUGAGGUUUCUGUAGUAAAAAUCUUUUAGCAAAAUAGUCUCCAGUUUGGUUGUCUGAAAAUGUCUUUAACCUUAUUUCCACUGCCCCCUGCAAGUUUAUCUUUGCUAGCUGUACAAUUCUAUGCUCACAGUUAUUUUUCUCUUAGCACUUUGAAAUUGUAUUCCACAGUCCUGUGCCUUUGGCUGUCAUUGACACAGCAGCUUUCUUUCUAGUUUCAUAUAUUUGUCUUUUUCUCUGGCUAUUUCUAAGAUUUUUUAAAAAUAAAAAUAUGUUAUUAUAUAAUUUUACAGGGAUAUGUCUACUUAUGAGUUUCUUUUUAUUUCUGCUCAUUGGGUUCAAUACGGUUUCUGCAUCUGAGGAAUAAUGUAAUCCUUUCAGCAGGCAGUUCUGGAAAUUUCUCAGGCAUUAUCUCUUCAGUUAUUGCUUCUGGCCCACUGCCUCUUGAUUUUCUUUCUGAAACCUUGAUUACACAUGUUGGACUUCUUCAUCCUAUGCUCCUUCCUGUCGUCUCUCUGCACUGCAUUUUUCCAUAUAUCUCCUUGUACUUUUUUUCAGAUCCACUUUCCCAUUCAUGCAUGGGCUCUCAUCUCAGAUGUCUCUAACCUGCUGCUUCCCCCAUCCAUGGAACUUCUGAUGUUAAUUCUGACAGUUUUCUUCAGAAGUUCUAUUUGUUUCUUUUUCAAAAAUACCUGGUCAAUGUUGGGUGUUUUUUAUUCCUUCAUCAUAUUUCCAAUGCUUUUAUAUCUGCCCAUCCGUAAUUAUUUUGUGUUCUGUUAAUUCCAAUAUCUGUAGUCAUUGCCAGUAUGAUUAUCUUGUUGUCUUUCCUGUCACUCACGUUACCUUGUUUUCCGUGUGUGGUGAUAUUUGAUUGUGAGCUCAUUUUUCUUGGAGCUUUGUCUCUAGGAAUGCUUUGGAGUUUUGAGUCAAGAUGAUAGUCCUCUAAAAAGGAUGUGCAAUUGUUUCUGCUGGUUUCUUACACAUACUACUAACCCAGGAACACUUUAAUUUACAGUCAGGGCUUGGAUUAUUUCAGAACUCAUAGGUUAAGGAAAUUCUGCCCUCAACCUGGUGGUGGUAGUUAUGGUCAGAGAUUUCUAAGGAAGUUUAUUUAAAAAGUUAUUAUUAUUAAUGUUUCUCCCAUCACCAAGGCCAAGACAUGAGACAUGAAUGGAUCAACAUCCUCUCUCCUCUUGGAAGGGUUUUUUCUUUGUCUACACCUGAGAGCAUUAUCUCUUGAAGGUCGCAGCUUUAUGUUGAAUAUUUUUUCAGGACUCCCACCCAGUUUGGGUCCGAGUUUUGUUUUCUGUUCCCCAUCAUGUCUCACUAAAAUUCAAGGUUGAGAGUGCCUGAGAUCAGAGACACAUAGAGAGAAUGCUAGUUCCAGCACUGUUUACUUCUUUGAAUUUGGCUUUUUCUUUAUUUCCACUUUUUAAGGAAUUGUCUUAUUUUUUCACUGGCUAGUUUGUCCAUAGAUUUUACAAAAAAAUUGCUUAAAAAAUCCAGUAUUGGUUGAGAUGUGUAUUAUUAACUAGGAUUUCUUCUGAUAUUUUAUUAUCUCAUUACUGGAAAGGAAACUCUCACUAUCUCAUUCAUCUCUGCUGCAUUUGUAAAAAUGUGUAUGAUCCAGCAGGUUCCCACUUUGGACAACUGGAGUGUAAUUCAGUGGAGAACUCUGGGAGAUGGUGUAGAACAUGCCUAAGUAAUCACAAAUGAAGAAUGAGGAAACUGAGAUCGUUAGGACCCAACUUCCUGUUCAUCAUUGGUUAGAGACCGCUUCUGGAGAUAACUGACGCUUUGGUUUUCCUUAUACACAGGCAAGAGAAACUUCUCAGGCAGAGAAUCACUGGUAUUUGCUUUCAUUUUGUAAAGCACAAGAUAUGAAAGUGUGGAAGACAUCAAAUUAUGUGCUACAAGAAUGAUGAUGUAAAGAAAGCAGACAAAGCCAUGAUAACUAGAGAAGGAUAGCAACAGGCCUGAUGCCCUGACUCAUGGACCAUCCUUUUGCAGAACGGAGCUGACAGUCACUGGCUGCAGCCAGUUGGAUUCUUUCUUAUAACAGGAGACCUAACGCUUUACACUUUAAAGUUCAGAACAUGCUUGGAAAACAUCUAUGUGUGGCUAUGAAAGGCAUUAGGGAAGGCACUUGGCUCAUUAUCCCCAGGAUGUAGCAAGGUUCUAAGUCCAGGGUUCCAGUCUCAGUUACUCAAUCUCUAUCUGCAGAACAUAUUUGUCCAAGUCCCUGAUGUCCAGUAAUGAGCAGCAAUUGAGAAGAUUAUGACAGUAACCUCCCCUUUGUUUUCAACCUCGUUAUUUGUUUGGAGCCCGGUGGGCUAAUUUAGGGCUCAGGUCAAAAGGUUUGUUUAUAAAAGGACAAAUGCAAGUGUUGAACUGGAGAAUCACAGUCUUAUGCUCACACAGAAAUUACCACUUUCUAGCUUUUAUUAAACACUAUUGAAUUUGACCAAUCUCCUUGAUGAGGAAAGCAGCCACCCAUAGGAGGGAAAAAGGAGAGAGAAGAGAAAAGGCAGACUAUUGUAUAAACAAUAAACAACAAAAGUGACAUGAGAAACACAACUUGUUUGCUGCUAAUCAGUAGAGAUUUGCCAAAACUUGAACCCAAGUUUCUGCGUGUUCAAGGAUAUCAGUUUCCAUGGUGCCCAAGAUUCUGGAUGACAAAGGAGACUCUUGUGUAUUCUUGAGAUAUUUAAUGCGUUUCUUAUCUUACAUAAAUGGCAACACACUGUGCAUUUUCCUGCUUUUCUACUUUUCCCACUUAACAUUAAUUCUUGGAAUUUGCCUUAUAUGAGUAUGCAAAAGGCCACAUUCUUUGUGGCUACAUGGUUUUGCAUUCUAUGGAUAAGCCCACCAAUCCCCUAUUUAUAGGUAUUUAAGAUAAUUUCAGUCUUUCUUGAUUAGAAACUGUGAUGCAAUCAUUAACUUCAAGCACAUAUCAUUUUGCACUUUGGAAGAUAAAUAUGAGUAAUAUUUCCUAGAAUUAGAAAGAUAUUGCUGAAUUGAAGGAUGUUUGUACUUGUAAUGUUAAUAGAUUUUGCUCAGUUUCUCUCCAUAGAGGCUGUAUUGAUUUUUUUUCCCACAGCAAUACAUAAGAGUGCUGAUUUCCCCCCACGCUGCGUGCUCUCUCAUACAAUGUGUUGUCAGGCUUGUUGACCUUUUCCAAUUUAAUAAUAGAAAAACGGUAAUUGCAAUUUUAAUAUGCAUUUCUCUUAUAAACAGCACUGAGCAAUUUUCCCGCUGUCUAAGAGCUGUGGGUUUCACUGUUUUUCCUUAGGCCGUGACUAAGACAGUUUUUCUCUUUUUGGAUUCCAAGAUUUACUAGAGUUGUGUCUGGAGCAAAUUGAGGCUGACUUUUGGGCAUAAAAAAUUCAGGGUAGGCCCAAUUUGAGAUUCAAUUUCACUGAGUCUGCAUGUGUAAAAUUUACUGCGAUGGGAAAUAAACUAUGUCAGCAAGAUGCUGCCACAAAUGCAAGUUUAAUGACAUGGAACUCAUAUUUACAAUAAAAUAUUAAAGGAAAAAAGUAGGUUAAAAUACAGUACAAUGUGAUCUCUCUUCCUUUUUUAAAAAUAUAGGAUCCAUCUGUAGAAAGGUGCCUGGAUGUAUAUGGAAAAUUAACAUGGCUAUUUAUGGAUGGAAAGACUACAUGAUAUUUUAUUGUAAUUUGAGCUUCUCUUUAUUUUUGAAGUGUUGUCAAUUACUAAUUUCUACCUGAAAUAACUAAAAAUAAUAUUUUAAAAAUAUAGUCUGCCUCAUUGGUGGAGAGCUAUAAAAAAUACACAAAGUGAUGAGAAGAACACUGGACCAGGAGUCAGGAAACCUAAUUUUUAGUCCCAUUUCUGCUGUUAAUAUGCUCUGAGAUUAUUGGGCUUAUAAUUUAAUUUUUAGGCCCCGGUAUCAUUUAUAAAAUGGGGAAAUUGGGCAAGCUUGUUGUUUUGAAUCCUUAGAGCUCUAAAAACUUAUCUUAAAUGUUAAGAUGAGAUACUUAUAAAUUAAUGCUGAUUAAGUUCUUUUAUAGAUAUAUGUUUAUGCUCCGAAUAGUUGCACUUCAUAAAAUCAAGGUGAAUCUGUGUGUGCCGGUUGUUUCUUAUGUAAAUGAUUGUCUGUGAACUGUAUUGGUGUGCCAUGCAAAGCAAAAGUCUUCACACUGAGUAAUUAUCUUUUCAAGGCUCAUUGAAAGAGGUUACCUUGGUAACAAGAAAUCAAAACCCACCCACUUCAUCUUAGGGGUCAGAACAAGGUUCUCCAUGUAAUCAUCAUUUCUGUUCUUCAGGUACAAACUGUGAAGAAGCCUCAGUGAGAAUGUUCAUAUAUUAGUAAUAAGCAGUUUUGUACUCAAAGACACUGUUCAUUGCGUUGUUCUAGUUCAGGCCUGUUGUCCUGGCGGAAAUAUUAAGAGCACAACUUUUCAUUUUCUGAAGUUUCCCUGUUUGCAAGAUAAAUUAUUUUGGUUCCUCCAGCUCCUCAGCACCUUAGAGAGCUCUUUUUUCAAAAAAAUUAUACUUUAAGUUCUGGGAUACAUGUGCGGAACAUGCAGGUUUUUUACAUAGGUAUACAUGUGCAAUGGUGGUUUGCUCCACCUAUCAACCUGUCAUCUACAUUAGGUAUUUCUCCUAAUGCUAUCCCUCCCCUAGCCCCCUACCCCCGACAGGUCCCAGUGUGUGAUGUUUCCCUCCCUGUGUCCAUGUGUUCAUAUUGUUCCACUCCCACUUAUGAGUGAGAACGUGCAGUGUUUG
rnacentral:lncRNA from 10 species